UACGUAGGGUGCGAGCGUUAAUCGGAAUUACUGGGCGUAAAGCGUGCGCAGGCGGUGAUGGAAGACAGGUGUGAAAUCCCCGGGCUUAACCUGGGAACUGCAUUUGUGACUGCAUCGCUGGAGUGCGGCAGAGGGGGAUGGAAUUCCGCGUGUAGCAGUGAAAUGCGUAGAUAUGCGGAGGAACACCGAUGGCGAAGGCAAUCCCCUGGGCCUGCACUGACGCUCAUGCACGAAAGCGUGGGGAGCAAACAGG
rnacentral:rRNA from 1 species